ACACCCAGGCCUAGUAGUAAGGGCGAAUGAUUGAAUCUCAUUGGUCAGGGGUUCGAUUCCCCAUCGGGUGAG